GGUUAAGCGACUAAGCGUACACGGUGGAUGCCCUGGCAGUCAGAGGCGAUGAAGGACGUGCUAAUCUGCGAUAAGCGUCGGUAAGGUGAUAUGAACCGUUAUAACCGGCGAUUUCCGAAUGGGGAAACCCAGUGUGUUUCGACACACUAUCAUUAACUGAAUCCAUAGGUUAAUGAGGCGAACCGGGGGAACUGAAACAUCUAAGUACCCCGAGGAAAAGAAAUCAACCGAGAUUCCCCCAGUAGCGGCGAGCGAACGGGGAGCAGCCCAGAGCCUGAAUCAGUGUGUGUGUUAGUGGAAGCGUCUGGAAAGGCGCGCGAUACAGGGUGACAGCCCCGUACACAAAAAUGCACAUACUGUGAGCUCGAUGAGUAGGGCGGGACACGUGGUAUCCUGUCUGAAUAUGGGGGGACCAUCCUCCAAGGCUAAAUACUCCUGACUGACCGAUAGUGAACCAGUACCGUGAGGGAAAGGCGAAAAGAACCCCGGCGAGGGGAGUGAAAAAGAACCUGAAACCGUGUACGUACAAGCAGUGGGAGCCUCUUUUAUGGGGUGACUGCGUACCUUUUGUAUAAUGGGUCAGCGACUUAUAUUCUGUAGCAAGGUUAACCGAAUAGGGGAGCCGAAGGGAAACCGAGUCUUAACUGGGCGUUAAGUUGCAGGGUAUAGACCCGAAACCCGGUGAUCUAGCCAUGGGCAGGUUGAAGGUUGGGUAACACUAACUGGAGGACCGAACCGACUAAUGUUGAAAAAUUAGCGGAUGACUUGUGGCUGGGGGUGAAAGGCCAAUCAAACCGGGAGAUAGCUGGUUCUCCCCGAAAGCUAUUUAGGUAGCGCCUCGUGAAUUCAUCUCCGGGGGUAGAGCACUGUUUCGGCAAGGGGGUCAUCCCGACUUACCAACCCGAUGCAAACUGCGAAUACCGGAGAAUGUUAUCACGGGAGACACACGGCGGGUGCUAACGUCCGUCGUGAAGAGGGAAACAACCCAGACCGCCAGCUAAGGUCCCAAAGUCAUGGUUAAGUGGGAAACGAUGUGGGAAGGCCCAGACAGCCAGGAUGUUGGCUUAGAAGCAGCCAUCAUUUAAAGAAAGCGUAAUAGCUCACUGGUCGAGUCGGCCUGCGCGGAAGAUGUAACGGGGCUAAACCAUGCACCGAAGCUGCGGCAGCGACACUAUGUGUUGUUGGGUAGGGGAGCGUUCUGUAAGCCUGUGAAGGUGUGCUGUGAGGCAUGCUGGAGGUAUCAGAAGUGCGAAUGCUGACAUAAGUAACGAUAAAGCGGGUGAAAAGCCCGCUCGCCGGAAGACCAAGGGUUCCUGUCCAACGUUAAUCGGGGCAGGGUGAGUCGACCCCUAAGGCGAGGCCGAAAGGCGUAGUCGAUGGGAAACAGGUUAAUAUUCCUGUACUUGGUGUUACUGCGAAGGGGGGACGGAGAAGGCUAUGUUGGCCGGGCGACGGUUGUCCCGGUUUAAGCGUGUAGGCUGGUUUUCCAGGCAAAUCCGGAAAAUCAAGGCUGAGGCGUGAUGACGAGGCACUACGGUGCUGAAGCAACAAAUGCCCUGCUUCCAGGAAAAGCCUCUAAGCAUCAGGUAACAUCAAAUCGUACCCCAAACCGACACAGGUGGUCAGGUAGAGAAUACCAAGGCGCUUGAGAGAACUCGGGUGAAGGAACUAGGCAAAAUGGUGCCGUAACUUCGGGAGAAGGCACGCUGAUAUGUAGGUGAAGCGACUUGCUCGUGGAGCUGAAAUCAGUCGAAGAUACCAGCUGGCUGCAACUGUUUAUUAAAAACACAGCACUGUGCAAACACGAAAGUGGACGUAUACGGUGUGACGCCUGCCCGGUGCCGGAAGGUUAAUUGAUGGGGUUAGCGGUAACGCGAAGCUCUUGAUCGAAGCCCCGGUAAACGGCGGCCGUAACUAUAACGGUCCUAAGGUAGCGAAAUUCCUUGUCGGGUAAGUUCCGACCUGCACGAAUGGCGUAAUGAUGGCCAGGCUGUCUCCACCCGAGACUCAGUGAAAUUGAACUCGCUGUGAAGAUGCAGUGUACCCGCGGCAAGACGGAAAGACCCCGUGAACCUUUACUAUAGCUUGACACUGAACAUUGAGCCUUGAUGUGUAGGAUAGGUGGGAGGCUUAGAAGUGUGGACGCCAGUCUGCAUGGAGCCGACCUUGAAAUACCACCCUUUAAUGUUUGAUGUUCUAACGUUGACCCGUGAUCCGGGUUGCGGACAGUGUCUGGUGGGUAGUUUGACUGGGGCGGUCUCCUCCUAAAGAGUAACGGAGGAGCACGAAGGUUGGCUAAUCCUGGUCGGACAUCAGGAGGUUAGUGCAAUGGCAUAAGCCAGCUUGACUGCGAGCGUGACGGCGCGAGCAGGUGCGAAAGCAGGUCAUAGUGAUCCGGUGGUUCUGAAUGGAAGGGCCAUCGCUCAACGGAUAAAAGGUACUCCGGGGAUAACAGGCUGAUACCGCCCAAGAGUUCAUAUCGACGGCGGUGUUUGGCACCUCGAUGUCGGCUCAUCACAUCCUGGGGCUGAAGUAGGUCCCAAGGGUAUGGCUGUUCGCCAUUUAAAGUGGUACGCGAGCUGGGUUUAGAACGUCGUGAGACAGUUCGGUCCCUAUCUGCCGUGGGCGCUGGAGAACUGAGGGGGGCUGCUCCUAGUACGAGAGGACCGGAGUGGACGCAUCACUGGUGUUCGGGUUGUCAUGCCAAUGGCACUGCCCGGUAGCUAAAUGCGGAAGAGAUAAGUGCUGAAAGCAUCUAAGCACGAAACUUGCCCCGAGAUGAGUUCUCCCUGACCCUUUAAGGGUCCUGAAGGAACGUUGAAGACGACGACGUUGAUAGGCCGGGUGUGUAAGCGCAGCGAUGCGUUGAGCUAACCGGUACUAAUGAACCGUGAGGCUUAACCUU
rnacentral:rRNA from 1 species